UCAUACAUAUAAAUCUUCCCCCUCGGAUUUGUAACAUCUAUAACACCCCUAAUUACUCUCACCUCAUUUCCGCGAUGCAUACUCUUUUCCAAAGCAAGAUUACCCCUCUCAAGUUUCUGAUCAAACAUUUGGCCAUCCCUUCUCUGGACUCCACCCUGGCCAGUAUAAAUUAGCACAUCUCCAUCAGAGUUUCUGAUCAAACAUUUGGCCAUCUCGUCUCUGAACUCCACCCUGGCCAGUAUAAAUUAGCACAUCCCCAUCAUUCCCUUCAUCAUCAUAUCCUCCAGAGGCCACUAUGCUAACAGCGAUAGGCUCUUCAUCCCCUGU
rnacentral:lncRNA from 1 species